UCUCCGUUGGUGAACCAGCGGAGGGAUCAUUACAGGACUCGCAAGACUCCUUCACCCUGUGAACCUCACUACAAGCACGUUGCUUCGGCGGGUGUCCCGGCGGGGGUUUUCCCUCGCCGGGGCGCACAGCCCGCCGGCAGCCUACUAUACUCUGUCUCUUUGCGUUGGCAUCUCGAGAAAUAACAAACAAGUUAAAACUUUCAACAACGGAUCUCUUGGUUCUG
rnacentral:misc_RNA from 1 species